rnacentral:sRNA from 1 species
AGCAAAUUAUCUUAUUUCUUUCCUUUUCUGAAAAUUGACCCUUUGCUUAUUGUGUAGCAUUCCAAUAUUUUCAAUCUCUUGGAGUUAUACAAAGUAAAGGUGUUCUGAUAAAUAUGUGAUUCAUUAUUAAAGUCUUCCACUUUAAUACGUUAAAGUGUUGGAUUUGCUUUGAUUGACUCAUGUCUCACACAAGUACCUGUGAUAAUUAUAUCAGUAAGCAUUACGUAGCACUUAUGUGACAUUUAAAGCACUCAAGUUCCUGGCAAGAAUUCCCUCGAAUGUAAUUCCAGGUCCAAAUGCAAGAAUCAAACCCCAUUCAUGAUCUCCUCUGCCAUCUUUUCUAGUCUUGAGACCCUCCUCUAUCAUAUACUCCAGCACAUACACAAUGGUAUUACUGCUAGCAUUGCCAUAGUCCAUGAGAGCCCUUCUACUUGCACUUAGCUUCUCUGGUAACAAAUCAAGUCUUUUCUCAAUGCGAUUUAAGAUAGCUGGUCCCCCUGGAUGGACAGCCCAGAAUAGCUUGUUGUACUCCUUAUUCUGGAACCCAACAACACUCAUUAAUCUGUCACAGAAUCCUUCAACAGAGUCUUCAAUUAUCUGAGGAAGUUCCCUUGCUAGCUUGAAGCUUAUCCCCUCUUCUGUCAGCCUCCCAUCAAUUUUCUUCUCAGUAUGUGGCAAAAACUCCUGAACUGCAGUGUGAAGCUCAAAGAGAGGCUUCUCAUACUCCAAUAUUGGGUCUGAGCCAAUUAUCAUGGCAGCAGCACCAUCCCCAAAGAGUGCCACCCCCACAAGAUCAUAGGGUCUAUCUGCACUUGGUGGCUUGAACCCUAUAAUUGUAGUUUCUGAGGUAGCAAGCAGCACCCUACUUCCAGGGUUGUUCUCAGCUAUGUCUUUUGCAACACGAAGACCAGCCACACCUCCUGAACAGCCAGCGAAAUAGAGCAUGAUUCGUUGAGUAUCAGGGCUCAGUCCUAAUCCUUUCGCCAGUUCUUCAUGCAAGCUUGUG